GUGAAAAUAUAUAUCUCUCAUAUAAGCUCUUUCAUAUAUUAUUAUAAGCUCUUUUAUAUGAACAAAUAUGUAUCUCUCACUUAUGCUCCUUAUAUAUUAUCAUAAAUACAUUAUUAUAUGCCUUUUCAUGGAAUCUUGUUAUAAUAUCAAAGACCUCUCUGUGCCUUUUCUGCUCAAGCUGAACAGCUGCAUAAGGGAGUGAAAGCGUUCCUUCCUUCAGUUCCUCAAUACAAGAACAACUGUCUUUGUUAGCAAAGGAUGUUGCAGGAUGUGUCCUGAUCAUCUCAAGGUUGCAUGUCCUUGGGAUGAAUUGGUCUUUCAUUAACAAGGCUAUUAGCUGACGUGCGUCUGCAGGUGCAGAUGGCAGAAUUACGUGUGUGUAUGGCAAACUACGUAUGUAACAUUCCUGUAAUCUUCAAUAAAAAUCAGCCGUUUUCAGCAGAACGGCGAGAGUCUGUCCGAAGCAUCUGGCAAGAGCAGGUCGCGGGACUUGCUGCAGAGACUCUCCCCCUCAUGAGCGGCGAAACAGUGAAUGGACUUCUGAUCAUUUGUCUCCUCGUUCUGUCAACUUAAAAGGUGUUUAACUCCAUCUACUCCGUACCCGUGCUUGGUCUAACGGAAGAGAGACCAACAAAUUUGGCGUCACGAACAGGAUUUUUUCUUUUUGAAGAAAAAGGAGUUUUUGGAGGACAAUUUGACCAACCGACCCAGUGAACGAUCUUGGCACAGAACACCGCGGUGGAAAACAAGGUGAGCAGAGCCUAUUAUCUAAAAUCUGCUCAUUGGAUUUAUCCAAAGCCUUUGUGUCCAGAAUCAUAGUAGCUGAGGUCCUAAAAUAAUAGUUGGAGAAGAAAGUGGAGACAAGUGCAGAAAGAAUAAGAGAUUUUUUUUGUAAUGGUUUAAUGGUGAAAUGAAAUGAGGAUUUUUCUAAUGGUUUAAUGAGUAAAUGAGAAAAGGAAAUAGUACAGAAAUAGGGGUUGGAGGCCCAGAGCAUUAAUAAGCUCUAAAUUCCAUUUAAAGAAGGGUUGGAGGCCCAGAGCAUUAAUAAGCUCUAAAUUCCAUUUAAAGAAGGGUUGGAGGCCCAGGACAAGGUCCUAAAUUCCAUUUCCAGGUCGUGGCUGACCACACUAUUUGCUGACGAGCGGAUAGAAUAUAUAACAAGGUUAUAUAAAGCUUGGCUGGAUCCAUAGGUGUGGGAACCCUAAAAGUCCACAGGUCAAGGACCUGGUUUUUUUGUGUUAAGGGAAGGGGAGGCUAAAAGAGAGCUCCCUGGAUUUUAAGGUCGAGGACCUUUUGCAUGAGAUGAGAAAAAUGUUCUGAGGUAACUGUUUUUGCAUAAGAUGAUAAAUGUUUUGACUGCUUCUGUGUGAAGAGAGCAGUGCUUUUGGCUAUUUCUGCGUGCUUUUGGCUGUUUUUGCAUAAAAUGAGCAAUGUUUAAAUAUGACAAGCAGCCCAGUUGAAGCCACGAGAAAUAAGGUUUUAUUGAGAAAGUCAGCGGAAGAGGCGAUGAAGAAAAAAGGGGUAGAUGUUAACAGUAGAGGUAACUGGAGAAAGAUUUGGGAAGUGAAGGCUGCAGAAUCAAGAGAAAAAAGGCACAGCUGUAGACAAGCUUCACUGUGUGUGUAAGCUGAGUUCAGCCUGUGUGUGUGAGGCGCAGCAAGAGGCUGCUUACGGCUCUGGAUUGAAAGUGCAGCACUAGGAGAGUGCAGAAUGCAGAGCAGAGUUUUGGGAGCUCCGUGUGUGUGUGUAUGUGAGUGUACAGCGCUGGGUGUGUGUGUGAAGGCCUGAUGCGGUACCAGAAAAUAAAUAAAUAAGCUAAAUAAGAGCUUUAAAAAGUUGCAACUCGUAUAUGUAAAUUACACUGCAGUGCUAAAAAUUAAUGUUUGGAGCUACGCAAAAUUCAAAUUCUGCAACCCUGUUCUGAUCAGUCUUUGAACAGAACACCAUAAGUUAAUAAAUAAAAGGUUUUUAAAGUAACAUAUGCAUAUGUAUGUGUGUAUGUAUGUAUAUGUGUAUACAUAUAUACAUAUGUAGUGUAGAAGCGUGAUAAUCAUUGGUGUGUGGGGCAGCAUGUGAGUGACCCCGAUCUGGGGGUUAAGUGACCUGGAGAUGAAAAAAGGGAAAAAACCACCAAGAAACGCAAGUAAGGAUGUAAAUGACAGCUUUAUUUUAGAAAUAUAGUCAUAUAGCUGCUAAACAGUAAAAUCAAAACAGAUCUGCAGAAAAUAAAUAUAUAAACUAUUCCUCAGAGCGCUCUCAAAAAAAUUGCAAUUGGAUUUGCUCUAAUGUUACAUAAGGCCUGCUUAAAAGCAUAGUAAGCAUUAAAUUCUGAAAAUAACCAGUGCAGUGUUAAAUAAAUUCUGUGCUUAAAAUAUUAUAUAUAUAUAGAGAGAGAAUAAAUAAGUGACGAACUGACUUACCUUAAAAAAAUAAUAAUAAUAAUAAAAAGAGACUGUGACAAACAAAGAAUGUCUCUGUGCCUUGUGAAUGAGUGAAUGUGUGUCUUCUUGCAUGAGCUGCUUUCGCUGGAUCUUCUGAAUGACGCAGUUUUUAAUAGAGGGAGCAGCUGCUUGAGAAACAGGGUGCGGUCCAUGUUUUUACUAGACGGUUAUUUAGUUCGAGAGACUGUGGAAACAAUAGAAAAAGAAUUUAUCGUUAGUGUGAGGACAAGAAAAUCCUUUAAAAUACAAAAGUUGUAUGGUCGUGGUUAUAAAGGAAGUAUUUUGUCUGAUUAUGGGCCGUGGAGUCAGCUGGACUCCCUCGCUCUCACAGUUUUUCUGUGUAACAUGCAGUUUUAAGCAAUUUGUGACUUUAGAAAGGAUAUUUUUCGGUGUUUUGGACGUACCUUAAGGCUUCUGGUUAGGGUAUUCAGGAGAUCCUUCCUCUCGGACAGAUUUAGUGAGAAUGACUGGAGUUUCAGCCUGGGGACCUGACUCCACCCACUUUUACACACAGGAGUCCCGCAGUCUAAAAAUAGCACAGGGCGCUGCGAAAAGCAGCUCUGAACCUCUCAGGAUCAUCUUUAUGAAAACCAUAAAAUUAACAAAUAAUCAGUCAGGAAAUAAAAUAUUUGUUAAAUCUUGCUAUAAAACAAAAUCCAAUAAUUGUCUUGCCUCAACUUUAAGAACCAUUAACGUUAAUGGCUGGAUUUUGGGACGCUGAAUAAUGAAAAAACAGAUAAACUAAGUAUUAUUUCCUGUAACCUGGCUAGAAACUGUACUAGGCUGUUUUGAGUUAAAAACUGGUAGUUAUUUUCCCAAAAUAAAAUAGAUAAAUAAAAAAUGAAAGGAGGGAUCUUGCAUUUGGGAUAGAUUGUGCCUAAAGUUUAAAACCUGUGUAGAACCGAUUUGACGAUUCAGAAAAAUUGUGCAUAGGAAGUAGUCUAGAUUUACCUUUGAGUCAAUAAAGUCGACUAAAUAUUAGAAACCAUCGUUGAUUUUGAUUUGUAAAAGAGAAAGUUCUGUCAUUUUAACUCAAUCAACAUAUUUAAGGAAAACGUUUACUGUGCAUUGUGGCAGGCAUGAACUUUACUGGGUGGGCCUGUCACAACCAGCUGCAAAGAAUGUUUGGCUCUGACUUCUAUACAAAGAGAACCUGGAAGCCCUCACCAAAGAGAACCUGGAAGCCCUCACCAAAAGCUGUGACUCAUAACAUAAAGACGGGGAGCACUACAAGAUGGACAAAGAGGCAGAAACUUAUUUGCCCUGCUGCUGAUGAAACAAAGUACAAAAGGGGGAGCAUGUGUGCUAACAUGUGAACUUCAAUCAAUGACGGUGGUCAUCCUGGACUUACAAAGAGAGGCUCAAAAGAGACUGUUUCCUAUGGUUACACCCAGUAAAAGAGUGCUUGCUGCAGUCAGGUAAUGAACAAGGCUUUUUGGCAACAACCAGUUGAAUUGAUGAAAUGUCAGAACUGUGGAAAAUUUACUAAACUACUGUAGAACAUAGUUAACUGAGAAAGUUAGCCUAAAAAAAGAUAAUAAUAAUAUCAAUAAAUAAAUAAAUAAUAGGAUUAGUAACCUGGAUUUCAGCCCAACUCACCAUUGGACGUCAAUAUAAUCUUUAUUGUCCUAGGAUUCUCAGCUGCAGCGGACAUGCAGUAAAGCCUUAUUUUCUUUUCAAAACGGAAUACAUCAGCGUCAUCACUUAUUUUCAUUGGUUAAGGAAACGGUGUCUAUUUAUAAGUCUAGGAGAACGCUUUAGGCUUCAACAGUUCUCUCCUUCGAGCAAACAUGCGCAAAUUUCCGGAUAGUUUAUAGUAACGUUCCAUCCCAUUCCAUUCAUUGCAUAAAAAUAAACAUUAAAUGAAUAAUUUGGCAUCCAGCUGACUAAAUGAUUCAUGGAACAUCUCAUCCGAGACGACAGUGUUGUUUCAGCUCCGUUGAGUUUCCCAACAGAUCUAGCCAAACCUAGCUGAUCCUAUAUUUUUCUAUCAGCUGUAAGUUCUAACGUAGAAAAUAAUGUCACAAAAAUAUUGAAUAAUUGUACCCCUCAUUCGAUAAAAAUUAUGUUCACAUUUUUAUCUUGUGAAAUCUUUAACAUAAUAUUUUUGAAUGGCCUUUUUGACGACAAUUGGCUAAAAAAUCUUUAAGAUUAUCAUCACAGGAUGGCAUGAUAAAUAAGUAAAUAACAUAAAUAAAUAAAUAGAAAAAAAUAAGAGAGAAAAAGCAAAAUUAAUUAAAUGAAACGUAAUAGUGAUAAAAAGUUAAAGUGAUCUAAAAUCUGUCAUUCAGUGCCACUGGAAAAAGGAAGAGGAUAGGGGAGUAUCUCUUAGCACAAAUCACGUUAUUGAUUUAGCAAUGCAGCUUAAUUUCAGAUGCUUUAAGGAUGAUACUAACUUGUGUUAUAGAUGAAGGAGUAGCACAGAAACACUUCUAGAUGAGGAGAUAAGGAAAAAAAACUGCUGAUUACCAAUACUAUGCACAAACAAACCUGUAACUGCAGUUUCGUUAUUUAUGAAUUAACCUUAAGUAGUGAAUUAAUUCUUAGGAUUUCUUGUGCGAGUAGUGUUCCUAAAAAAGAAAGAAAGAAAGAAAGAAAGAAGGUAAGAAAGACAGGUAGUUUAGGUAAGGGACAACCUGAAACUUUUUGGUUGAAUUGAUAGUAAAGUGAUUGUCCUAAUUUCUAAUUGGAGAGAUCACAUCGCAACGUGAGUUUAGAACAGCAGUUAUGGGAAGUUUUGUUGGAUUAAUUUGAUUACACGCUUUAGGUCUUAUUUUUUCUUUCCACUGAUUUAGCGUUAGGUUAAGUGUUUUCACACUUUCGCUUCAGUCUGACAUUUGCUUGGUGUGUGAGGGCACAGAGACGUGUAUGGACCGUGUGUUUGACUGUGUUUGUCUUGUUUGUUUGUUUAUUUAUCUAUAUGGGCGUGGCUGAGCCUUGAGAAACAUCAACAAAGCCAUUGGGCUAUUCUGAGUAAAUUGACCAAUUCAACUUCAGGAUCCUGAAACAAUUUGGCUAUAACCUCUAAUUGAUGAAGGGCAUCUUAAGAAUUCAUUAUACAAGGCUUCCUCUCCAGUGUUGCCGGAACUGUUAUAAAACCCAUGCAUGGUUGUAUAUUUUAGUUUGAUCAUUUAUACUCAUUGAAUUAUUGUUGUUUGCUUUGUGUUUUAAUUUCUUUGUAAUUUUUCUCUGUGACACAGGUGGAGAUGCUGGUGGCAAAAUGGAUCCCACACAUUUCUUUCUCCCACACACAUUCUUACUCUCUCCCUCUCUCUCUCUGUGUAUGUGCAUGUGUAUGUGUUUGUGUGUCUGUGUGUCCAUGUCGUGAUGUCACUGUACCUUUAAUUGCGCUUGCUGUUCGUAACUGUAUGUGUCUGAUGUUGAAGGUAUCAGAGGCUAGGGUCAGUAAGAGCUAGGACAUUUUUGUGCAUAACCUCUAAUCCCUAGGCGAUCGGUCCGGGGAACUUCUGGUCCGGCCGGAGUGUGAGCCUUCCUACCAACUAUCUGCCGAGAUCAAGGACUGCACAAGUCGAGAAAGCCUUCAUUGGACCAAAACUACACACACGAAGAGGCUUCGCCUUCGGUGCCAGGCGUCUGGGUCCUGCUAAAAGUCACCAAAAGGAAGUGGACGGAACCGAGGUGGACCGGGCCAUACAGGAUCACGGAGAGGACAUCACACGCUGUCCGGCUGGACGGGAGGAGCCUAACCUGGAAGAGAAGCAGCUGACAUCUGCCUAACCAGAGAAAGGAUCCAAAAACCAGGAAGAGAAGUAGCUGACUGCAGUAGCAUGCCAAGCUGCCACCACAUCCUGCAGGACGAGAAUCUUGAUAUCAUCACCCCCUGCAGCUGCCUGGAGCCAGUGAAGGGUCCUCAACAGGGGGAAGAAGUAACCACCCUAUGAACAUUCUACAAGGGUUCUAUUUAACACCCUCAUUUAUUUUACAAGGGUAAUAUUUUACACCCUCCACCUGCUGACCCAAUUAUCCAGAUGCCCUUGUUACUAGCCAAUCCUAAAAUCUAUUUGGGAGGGGAACCCUCUGAUGAAAGUGAUGACUCUCAUGAUGAAGAAGAUGUUGUUAGAGUGUGAGAAUAUUGAGUGAUUUCUGUAACAAUCCCUUAAACUGUUUAUUUCUAUGAGUUUUUUGAUUGUGUUGUUUUUAUUUCUUUUGAUCAUUGAUGUCCUAGGCAUGCACACUCUAUGCCAACAGGUGUUCGCCCCAAAAUUGAGAUAUGACAAAUGGGGGGACAUGGGGGAAUUUUCCCUAUAAACAUAUGAUAAUUAGGGUUUUUCGCCCUCAUAUGGAGUUGCAUGCGAUCCUUACAUGUUGUAACAUGUUCAGUUAAAAAUAUGAUCAUGUUUUUUUUUUGUAUUAGUUUACUGCUGGAAAUAUGAGAAGCUGUAACCUGAUUGAUUGUUUGUAUUUGUAUUUUAAAACUUUGCUUAUUGGAUUCUUUUUGAUGGAAUUUGGUGUUAUUGUUUUGAUUUCUUAUAUCUUUAUUGAACUCUUAAAAGAGUUCAAAAGGGGGAUUGAAAAUAUAUAUCUCUCAUAUAAGCUCUUUCAUAUAUUAUUAUAAGCUCUUUUAUAUGAACAAAUAUGUAUCUCUCACUUAUGCUCCUUAUAUAUUAUCAUAAAUACAUUAUUAUAUGCCUUUUCAUGGAAUCUUGUUAUAAUAUCAAAGACCUCUCUGUGCCUUUUCUGCUCAAGCUGAACAGCUGCAUAAGGGAGUGAAAGCGUUCCUUCCUUCAGUUCCUCAAUACAAGAACAACUGUCUUUGUUAGCAAAGGAUGUUGCAGGAUGUGUCCUGAUCAUCUCAAGGUUGCAUGUCCUUGGGAUGAAUUGGUCUUUCAUUAACAAGGCUAUUAGCUGACGUGCGUCUGCAGGUGCAGAUGGCAGAAUUACGUGUGUGUAUGGCAAACUACGUAUGUAACAUUCCUGUAAUCUUCAAUAAAAAUCAGCCGUUUUCAGCAGAACGGCGAGAGUCUGUCCGAAGCAUCUGGCAAGAGCAGGUCGCGGGACUUGCUGCAGAGACUCUCCCCCUCAUGAGCGGCGAAACAGUGAAUGGACUUCUGAUCAUUUGUCUCCUCGUUCUGUCAACUUAAAAGGUGUUUAACUCCAUCUACUCCGUACCCGUGCUUGGUCUAACGGAAGAGAGACCAACAGCAGGUAAACUUUUUAUUCGCCGAACCGAGGCUAGAACGCUCUCACCUUUUAGAUGUUUUGGUACGAGUAGCUGCUAUGUUGGACGCCGCCAUUUCUGUUAGUUGAUGCUCAGCAGAGAUGCUAUUGCGCAUGUGCCACUCUGGGCAGAGAUUGUAAUGAAGUGAGAUGCCUCACUCGGUCGGAAAAAACAUGUCUGACGACAACGUCGACAAUGAAAUUAAUUGUCGACAAUUUCUAUUGUCGAUAUUUGCUGACAACGUCGACGAAUCGUUGCAGCCCUAUAACAUAUGUAACAUACAUACAUCAGGGUUCCCCCAGAAAAUGGGUGAAUAUUACCUGCAUUAUUUGCAAAGCAGUCCUUGCGUAUCACGGCAGCACCUCGGUGAUGCAUGAACACUUAACGAGAAAGCACGUUGGACAGUUGGAAUGAAACAGUCUGACUCACCUCGGUAAGAUUUAAAUAACAAGAAAGCCAACACGUUUAGUGUUGGAGGUACAUAUUUUUAAACAUAUUUUUGCUUUUUAAAAAAAAUAGAGAUUUAAUGUUAUGCCUGACUAUGCCUGAAAAAAGUAUUUUAAUUUUAUUUAUGCAUUAUGUCUAUACUAGCUGAGCACUGUGCCUAAUUGGUAUUUUUAUUUACGUUUAAAAUGAAUUGGCCUAUCAGCAGCAAAGUUCAGUAACAUAUGCAUUUUCCAUUGAAGUACCCAUCUUUGUUGUGUUAUCAUUUUUCACAUAAUGAAAGCAUGCUAAAUUUAAGAAAAAAAUUAAUAAUUAUCCGAUAGUCGACUAAUCGUUUCAAUAGUCGGUGACUGGUCGACGACUAUUAAAAUAGUCAUUAGUUGCAGCCCUAGUAUAUUUACAGUGCAUAUAUCAUCAUCAUUAAAUUGUGUAAUUAAAAUAAUUAGAAAGGUUACCUCAUUCAGUGAGUCCAGCAUUGGUCUUAUUUUGGUCCCUGCAGUCCCGCCCUUCUUCUGAAACAUUGCCAGGAGUUUUGGAGUAAACCUGUCCAAACUGGACAAAAAGGUUUGCUCCAGAUGCACCGUGGUCAGUCUUUUAAACUCUUCUUUGAUCUGAAAUGAGAAAUAAAAACACAAAAUCAUGUUUAUGAUGACUCAUGAGAUCUCACACUGCAUGAACAAUAACUGGAUUUACCUGAUUUUCACUGAACAGAGAAGGCCAUCUCUCCAUGAGGUCUUUGAUUGCAGGACAAUCCUUGACAACCUCAGUUCUUCGGCCGCUCGGUCGUACUUCUCCCGCUACGUUUUCCCCCUGAUUUUAAUAGAAGUUUGUCUUUUAGGAACAAAUGAGAAAACCAGGGACUUAUUAAGCUUAGGGCAGAGAUGGACCACAUGUUCACUGGAACAAAGUGUUUGGCGGCUGUGACAUGGAGACUAUUCUGGAGAAAAUGGGCAUCCAGGGGAAGGUGACAGCGAUGAACAGCUCCUGGAGCUGAUCAGGGAGGACAUGAGGCUGCAGAGGGAGGCAGAGCAGCAGAGGGCACAGGAGAGAAGGAAGAACUUUGCCAGGCUUGCUAGAAAAAAUGGUUAAGAAAGAUUAAACAUGUACAUAUAAAAGAAAUAUCUAAAUAAAAUCAGUUCUGUAUUAAAAUCUUGGAUUUUAUUUUUGUUUACAAAUGAGAAUUGUUUACUAGAGGGUAUCCGCUGGGUCUUGAAACGUCUUAAAAGGUGAUAAAUCGGUUUUGGUCAAAUUAAGACCCUUAGAAAGUAUUAAAAACUAUUAUCACAUCUUUGCUCAGGCUCAGCUUGUCGAAAGUAUUUUCUCUGAAUUAGCUCUCCAGCAGUCAAGGAAAUGAUUAAAAAUCUAAAAACUUCGAGCUCCAUCAUUUGAAGUUCCUUCUCCCUUCUGCUCAGCGGGUCCACUGUUGCUAGGCGAUGGAACGUUCACCGAGGGAGUGGCGGGAAUUCAUGAAGGCUAGGCCUGUCCAAAUUCACAGCCGUUAACAUCUGGUCUACUCGGCCGACGUGGGCUGGGUCCUUCGAAGGAUGCAGACACAGCGUAUGUUUCUGACUAUAACAUGAAUAAAAUGGAGCUGUGGAGAGCAGUUUUUUAUUUAUUCAAAUUAAUGGUUAUUACAGUGGUGUAAAACUGCAGCAAUGAUAUGAAAUUAGACCGUGGUCAUUUUAUUGUGUUAAACUCAAGUCCAUUGGAACAGUUUCAACAACAGAACAAGUCAAAUAACUUCCAACUUCAGUGAAAUGUAAUGGGUGGCGCAAAGUUAACAGACACCAGUGCACCGGCAGCUUGCAACUUUUUCUGUAAAAUGCGUUUAUAAUUAUUAAAUGCACUCACUCCAGCAAGUAUAAUCUUUACCAAGUCUGGCUUUGAUAAAACGCGAACUUUAAUUAAUGGGGCCUUUCCAGGCGAAAAGGACACGUGUCAGCCAAGUUAGUUAGCUUAGCUAGCUAGCUAGCUAGCAGGAAAAAGUACCAUUUGCUACCGCAGCUGCUGCUGCUUUCAGUGAGAAGUCAGUGAGCCAACGAGGACGUAUAGUUUGAUUAACUUAAAACUUACCGUCUU